UAGGGAAUCUUCCGCAAUGGGCGAAAGCCUGACGGAGCAACGCCGCGUGAGUGAUGAAGGUCUUCGGAUCGUAAAACUCUGUUAUUAGGGAAGAACAAAUGUGUAAGUAACUAUGCACGUCUUGACGGUACCUAAUCAGAAAGCCACGGCUAACUACGUGCCAGCAGCCGCGGUAAUACGUAGGUGGCAAGCGUUAUCCGGAAUUAGUGGGCGUAAAGCGCGCGUAGGCGGUUUUUUAAGUCUGAUGUGAAAGCCCACGGCUCAACCGUGGGGAGUCAUUGGAAACUGGAAAACUUGAGUGCAGAAGAGGAAAGUGGAAUUCCAUGUGUAGCGGUGAAAUGCGCAGAGAUAUGGAGGAACACCAGUGGCGAAGGCGACUUUCUGGUCUGUAACUGACGCUGAUGUGCGAAAGCGUGGGGAUCAAACAGG
rnacentral:rRNA from 1 species